rnacentral:rRNA from 1 species
GAUGAACGCUGGCGGCGUGCCUAAUACAUGCAAGUCGAGCGAACGGACGAGAAGCUUGCUUCUCUGAUGUUAGCGGCGGACGGGUGAGUAACACGUGGAUAACCUACCUAUAAGACUGGGAUAACUUCGGGAAACCGGAGCUAAUACCGGAUAAUAUUUUGAACCGCAUGGUUCAAAAGUGAAAGACGGUCUUGCUGUCACUUAUAGAUGGAUCCGCGCUGCAUUAGCUAGUUGGUAAGGUAACGGCUUACCAAGGCAACGAUGCAUAGCCGACCUGAGAGGGUGAUCGGCCACAUUGGAACUGAGACGCGGUCCAGACUCCUACGGGAGGCAGCAGUAGGGAAUCUUCCGCAAUGGGCGAAAGCCUGACGGAGCAACGCCGCGUGAGUGAUGAAGGUCUUCGGAUCGUAAAACUCUGUUAUUAGGGAAGAACAUAUGUGUAAGUAACUGUGCACAUCUUGACGGUACCUAAUCAGAAAGCCACGGCUAACUACGUG